GUGUCAGCAGCCGCGGUAAUACAGAGGGUGCAAGCGUUGUUCGGAAUUAUUGGGCGUAAAGCGCGUGUAGGCGGCUUAGCAAGUCGGGCGUGAAAGCCCUCGGCUCAACCGAGGAAGUGCACCCGAAACUGCUGAGCUUGAGUGCCGGAGAGGAUGGCGGAAUUCCCCAAGUAGAGGUGAAAUUCGUAGAUAUGGGGAGGAACACCGGUGGCGAAGGCGGCCAUCUGGACGGUAACUGACGCUGAGACGCGAAAGCGUGGGGAGCAAACAGGAUUAGAAACCCCUGUAGUCC
rnacentral:rRNA from 1 species